UACGUAGGGUGCGAGCGUUAAUCGGAAUUACUGGGCGUAAAGCGUGCGUAGGCGGUUCGCUGUGUCCGAUGUGAAAGCCCCGGGCUUAACCUGGGAAUGGCAUUGGAAACUGGCGGGCUUGAGUGCGGCAGAGGGGGGUGGAAUUCCGCGGUGUAGCAGUGAAAUGCGUAGAGAUGUGGAGGAACACCUGUGGCGAAGGCGCCUUGCUGGCCGGAUUUCUGACGCUGAGGCGCGAAAGCGUGGGGAGCAAACAGG
rnacentral:rRNA from 1 species